rnacentral:tRNA from 1 species
GGUGGCUGAGUGGUAGAGCACUUGCCUUGCAUGCAUGAGGCCCUGGGUUCGAUUCCCCAGCACCA